rnacentral:tRNA from 1 species
GCCUGGGUGGCGAAAUUGGCAGACGCGCCAGACUCAAAAUCUGGUUCGGGCAACCGAGUGAGAGUUCGAGUCUCUCCCCAGGCACCA